UAUAUGUUACAAUGGUGGCAACGCUGAUCCAGCCAUGCCGCGUGUGUGAAGAAGGUCNNNGGUUUNUCAAGCACUUUAAGUUGNGAANAAGGGUUUUAGGUUAAUACCCUGAAGUUUUGACGUUACCAACAGAUUAAGCACCGGCUAACUCUGUGCCAGCAGCCGCAGUAAUACAGAUGGUGCAAGCGUUAAUCGGAAUUACGUGGCGUAAAGCGCGCGUAGGUGGUUCAGUAAGAUGGGUGUGAAAUCCCCGGGCUUAACCUGGGAACUGCUUUCAUAACUGCUGAGCUAGAGUACGGUAGAGGGUAGUGGAAUUUCCUGUGUAGCGGUGAAAUGCGUAGAUAUAGGAAGGAACACCAGUGGCGAAGGCGACUACCUGGACUGAUACUGACACUGAGGUGCGAAAGCGUGGGGAGCAAAC
rnacentral:rRNA from 1 species